rnacentral:rRNA from 1 species
AUUGAACGCUGGCGGCAGGCCUAACACAUGCAAGUCGAACGAGUGGCGGACGGGUGAGUAAUGUCUGGGAAACUGCCCGAUGGAGGGGGAUAACUACUUGAAACGGUAGCUAAUACCGCAUACCAUCGGAUGUGCCCAGAUGGGAUUAGCUUGUAGGUUAGGUAACGGCUCACCUAGGCGACGAUCCCUAGCUGGUCUGAGAGGAUGACCAGCCACACUGGAAUGGAGAAACGGGACAGAGUGGUACGGGAGGCAGCAGUGGGGAAGAUUGCACAAUGGGCGCAAGCCUGAUGCAGCCAUGCCGCGUGUAUGAAGAAGGCCUUCGGGUUGUAAAGUAAUUUCAGCGGGGAGGCGGUACCCGCAGAAGAAGCACCGGCUAACUCCGUGCCAGCAGCCGCUGUAAUAC